UUGAGUUGCAGGUCCGGCUUGCUGCUAAUAGCUGUGUGACCAAAGACAUUAGAGAGCCUGGGGAUUAUGGUGGCUUCCCUGCAGUUCCAAUUCAUGAAUGGCGAAGACAAGUUGCUAGUCGCUACCGGAUUUCAAAGAAGGCUAUUCUAUAGAGCUGUUUGGAAUUGAAAUCAUAUAUACAGCUAAAAUGGUUAGGACUCUUCUCCCAAAUGAUUGUAUUCUGAGAAUAACGGUUUGUGAAAGGUUAUUUGAGAACUUUUACAAGACUUGCAGCGUCUUGAGAAUUUUAAUCUGUGGUGCUCAAGAAAAAAUAGUGAUACUGAUUUUGGAAAAAUUUUUUUAUUAAUGUCCCACAAAACAUUCCUGGUUA